rnacentral:tRNA from 1 species
GUUGACGUGCCAGAGUGGUUAUCGGGCAUGACUAGAAAUCAUGUGGGCUUUGCCCGUGCAGGUUCGCAGGUUCGAAUCCUGCCGUCCACG